GGACGAUUAACUCAGCGGGAGAGUGCCACCUUCACACGGUGGAAGUCACUGGUUCAAAUCCAGUAUCGUCCA
rnacentral:tRNA from 1 species